rnacentral:rRNA from 1 species
GACGAACGCCGGCGGCGUGCCUAAUACAUGCAAGUCGAGCGGGCCUCCGGAGGUGCUCGCACCUCCGGAAGGCCAGCGGCGGACGGGUGAGUAACACGUGGGCAACCUGCCUUUGAGGCCGGGAUAACACCGGGAAACCGGUGCUAAUACCGGAUACGUCCUCUUUCGCGCCUGCGAGAGGGGAGAAAGACGGUCUUUAAGGCCGUCGCUCAAAGAGGGGCCCGCGGCGCAUUAGCUGGUUGGUGGGGUAAGGGCCUACCAAGGCGACGAUGCGUUGCCGACCUGGGCGGGGGACCGGCCACACAGGGACUGGGCCACGGCCCAGACUCCUGCGGGGGGCGGCAGUAGGGAAGCAUCCGAAAUGGGCGAAGGCCUGACGGUGCAACGCCGCGUGAGUGAGGAAGGUUUUCGGAUCGUAAAGCUCUGUUGUGAGGGAAGAACAGCUUCCGGAGGAAAUGCCGGAGGUUUGCCGGUACCUCACCAGAAAGCCCCGGCUAACUACGUGCCAGCAGCCGCCGUAA